rnacentral:rRNA from 1 species
CCCCGGGAGGGGAGUGAAAUAGAACAUGAAACCGUGAGCUUACAAGCAAUGGGAGUCCGACUGAUCGGAUGACCGUGUGCCUGUUGAAGAAUGAGCCGGCGACUUAUAGGCACUGGCGGGUUAAACCGGAAAUGGUGGAGCCAUAGCGAAAGCGAGUCUGAACAGGGCGUUUGUCAGUGUUUAUAGACCCGAACCCGGGUGAUCUAACCAUGGCCAGGAUGAAGCUUGGGUGAUACCAAGUGGAGGUCCGAACCGACUGAUGUUGAAAAAUCAGCGGAUGAGCUGUGGUUAGGGGUGAAAUGCCAAUCGAACCCGGAGCUAGCUGGUUCUCCCCGAAAUACGUUGAGGCGUAGCGUCUCGUGCUCCAGCAGGGGGGUAAAGCCACCAUUUCGGUGCGGGCUGCGAGAGCGGUACCAAAUCGAGAUGAACUCUGAAUACCCUGUGUGUAGCGAGGCAGUCAGACUGUGGGGGAUAAGCUCCAUGGUCGAGAGGGAAACAGCCCAGACCGCCAGCUAAGGUCCCCAAAUCAACGCUAAGUGAUAAAGGAGGUGGGAUUGCCCAGACAACCAGGAGGUUUGCCUAGAAGCAGCCAUCCUCAAAGGAGUGCGUAAUAGCUCACUGGUCGAGCGAUCCUGCGCCGAAAAUGAACGGGGCUAAGCGUUGUACCGAAGCUGCGGAUUUAUGGUAGGGGAGCGUUCCAUGUGGGGUGAAGCGUUAGCGUGAGCGGGCGUGGACUGCAUGGAAGUGAGAAUGUCGGCUUGAGUAGCGAAAACAUGGGUGAGAAUCCCAUGCACCGAAACCCUAAGGGUUCCUCCGGCAGGCUCGUCCGCGGAGGGUUAGUCUGGACCUAAGGCGAGGCCGAAAGGCGUAGUCGAUGGAUAACAGGUCAACAUUCCUGUACCGGUUAUGUUUUGGGAAGAGGGACGGAGAAGGCUAGCCAAGCCAGAUGUUGGUUACUGGUUCAAGCGUUCGAGGCGUUGAGGAUCGGCGAAAACGAUCCGAGCUGAGGCGUGAGUACGAGCUGCUACGGCAGCGAAGUUGGUGACGUCAUGCUUCCAAGAAAAGCUCUAUACCCGUUAAGGCAUAACUGCCAGUACCCGAAACCGACACAGGUGGGGUGGUAGAGAAUACCGAGGUGCGCGAGGUAACUCUCUCUAAGGAACUCGGCAAAAUGGCCCCGUAACUUCGGGAGAAGGGGUGCCAGCGCGAGCUGGUCGCAGUGAAGAGUCCCAGGCGACUGUUUACCAAAAACACAGGUCUCCGCUAAGUCGCAAGACGAUGUAUGGGGGCUGACGCCUGCCCAGUGCCGGAAGGUUAAGGAAGCCGGUCAGCGUAAGCGAAGCUGGCGACUGAAGCCCCGGUGAACGGCGGCCGUAACUAUAACGGUCCUAAGGUAGCGAAAUUCCUUGUCGGGUAAGUUCCGACCCGCACGAAAGGCGUAACGAUCUGGGAGCUGUCUCGGAGAGAGGCUCGGCGAAAUAGAAUUGUCUGUGAAGAUGCGGACU